rnacentral:rRNA from 1 species
CAGCAGCCGCGGUAAUACGAAGGGUGCAAGCGUUAAUCGGAAUUACUGGGCGUAAAGCGUGCGUAGGCGGUGAGUUAAGUCUGCUGUGAAAUCCCCGGGCUCAACCUGGGAAUGGCAGUGGAUACUGGCUUGCUAGAGUGUGUCAGAGGAUGGUGGAAUUCCCGGUGUGGCGGUGAAAUGCGUAGAGAUCGGGAGGAACAUCAGUGGCGAAGGCGGCCAUCUGGGACAACACUGACGCUGAGGCACGAAAGCGUGGGGAGCAAACAGGAUUAGAUACCCCGGUAGUCCCUGUCUCUUAUAC